UACGUAGGGUCCGAGCGUUGUCCGGAAUUACUGGGCGUAAAGGGCGCGUAGGCGGCCCGCUAAGUCGAACGUGAAAUCCCCAGGCUCAACCUGGGAACUGCGUCCGAUACUGGCAGGCUUGAAUCCGGGAGAGGGAUGUGGAAUUCCAGGUGUAGCGGUGAAAUGCGUAGAUAUCUGGAGGAACACCGGUGGCGAAGGCGGCAUCCUGGACCGGUAUUGACGCUGAGGCGCGAAAGCUAGGGGAGCAAACGGG
rnacentral:rRNA from 1 species